AUUGAACGCUGGCGGCAGGCCUAACACAUGCAAGUCGAACGAGUGGCGGACGGGUGAGUAAUGUCUGGGAACCUGCCCGAUGGAGGGGGAUAACUACUGGAAACGGUAGCUAAUACCGCAUAACAUCGGAUGUGACCAGAUGGGAUUAGCUAGUUGGUGGGGUAACGGCUCACCUAGGCGACGAUCCCUAGCUGGUCUGAGAUGAUGACCGGCAACAAUGGAACUGUGACACGGUCCAGACUCCUAGGGGAGGCAGCAGUGGGGAAUAUUGCACAAUGGGCGCAAGCCUGAUGCAGCCAUGCCGCGUGUAUGAAGAAGGCCUUCGGGUUGUAAAGUACUUUCAGCGAGGAGGCGUUACUCGCAGAAGAAGCACCGGCGAACUCCGUGCCAGCAGCCGCGGUAAUUC
rnacentral:rRNA from 1 species